rnacentral:tRNA from 1 species
AGAGGAGUAGCUUAACCCGGCUAAAGCGGCGGUGUCGAAUACCGCAAAUGUAGGUUCGAUUCCUGCCUCCUCUACCA